CCAGAGGGUCGGGCGGCCGCGGGUGCGCAAGCACGCGAGGAAAGUCCGGGCUCCACGGAACGACGGUGCCGGGUAAUGCCCGGCGGGGGCGACCCCAGGGAAAGUGCCACAGAGAGCAGACCGCCUAAGCCCCUCGGGGCCGGCAAGGGUGAAAGGGUGCGGCAAGAGCGCACCGCGCGACCGGUAACGGAAGCGGCAUGGUAAACCCCACCGGGAGCAAGACCGAAUAGGGACGGCACAUGGGCCUCGUUCCGGCCCGUCGUCCGGGUUGGUUGCUUGAGCGGCGGAGCGAUCCGUCGCCUAGAGGAAUGGUCGCCCAUCCCCGAAAGGGGUGGACAGAACCCGGCUUACAGACCCUCUGGCAUA
rnacentral:RNase_P_RNA from 1 species